AAAGACAUACUUAGUAAAACGUUUUUAUGUCGUCAUCUGUGUUAGGAAUAAGACGAAAAGAUAGAGGACUAUAUGAAUGAGGAAAAAAUUCUUCUUUAUAAAAGCCAUGUUAGAUAAAAUUAAAAUUAUUUCACAUAAUGUAUGCAUAACUGAAAUUCUGUGACGUGUCAUAAUUUUUAUUCAUCUUGUUAAUUUUUAGCCCUGCCGUACCAAUGAUAUUUGAAAAGACUAAUGAAAUUAAUUGUUGGUGACAACGCAAGAAAGGUAUGAAAACACCGGACAUAAAAUCACAACAAAA